rnacentral:lncRNA from 1 species
UGUGUGUGGACCAGGUGUGUGCCCAGGUACUGGGGAGAACUGCCACUCAGAGAUUAGUUCAGGAAGCACCCUGGGCUUCCUGGUGCCCCCCUUGGGCUGUGCUCUGCUCUGGGGAGAGUGUUUGACUUGUUGAAAUGCUCUCUCCUUUGAGAUGCUGUGCUCUCCCUCCAGGGAGGAGCAGAGGCUGUGCUGCAAGAGGCUGGGGCAUGUCUCUGGAGGAGCUCUUGGGAACAGGAACGUGCUUCUCCCAGCGAGAGCAGCCAUGCCGUCUUGUGAGUGUGGUGCCUGGUAGGAUACUGCAUCUGUUAGUUACUUCCCAGUGGCUGAAGGAAGUGGUCACCAGCUCUGCCUGGGGGAGGUGGGGGAGCUGGGCUUUGGGGCGUCUCCCUCCCUACCUCCAGAGUUAGGUUUCACCUGAGACUGUGGUUUCACUUUUGACUCCAUCUUCACUGAGUCAAGCAGAUGAUUUAGGAAUGACCAGGGAGCAGCAUUGGUGGUUUGCCUUUGGAUCUGCAUUGGUUUGGACCCAUGAACUCUGUGGUGGGCAUUGUGUUUGUGUAAUAGACCAUUGGUAUGCUCAUUUUUCCUCUUGCAGAAAGCACUAGCUUUCUUGAAAGCAGUUCAGGGACAUGCCCAUCCUUCUGUGCCAGAGCUGAGCCCUUCUACUGGGGGAACAUGGAGACACGCGAGCUCCAGUCUUCAUUCCACUCCUCCUCCUUCCCUUUGCCCUCCACUGUCUCCUGCUGUCCCCCCAGCUCAUCCCAGGGGCAGGGUAACCUUGGUGCAUCCUCCCAUCCAGCCAGCAGUCCCGACCCAGGGCCCCCGUGCCUGGACUGAGUCUGGGGUUUAUGUCAGUAGUGUUAAGGGAGGGAUGGAAAACUGAACUUUUAGGAGUGCAGCUGCCUAGGAACAUAGACCUCCAUACCUCUGACGCAGGGGAAACCAGAAAAACCGAUGCUGGGUCCACGUAGGCUUGGAAGGCUGUUACUUUUUGCCUUCUUACCUGAAUAGGAAUUUGAGGGGCACUGUGGGUUUGGAGGAUGUGAUUCCCACACUGGGGCUCAGGGCCUGGGAAAUGCAGUGGUCCCUGGGUUCUGAGUCCUCCUUUGAAGGCCACCCUGCCAGAAAGGAAGAGCCUGAUGGAGGUUUCUGGGGACUUUGGGCCAGCCGGUAACUCCAUGCUCCCUCUGCUCCACCCUUGGCCCCUCAUGUGUAUACCAUUCCUUUUAUCACCCUUCCCUCUGAUUCACAGCCCCCACCCUGACAGCUAAAGACAGAAUGCCCAGGCUGCUGCCUAGAAUGACAGGAAGCUGGACUGCCCUUUCAGUUUAUACAUGCAAUGGCCUGGGACUGUCUCUUGAGGGCAAGACAUUCCCCUUUUACAAAAGAGCCUUCCCCAGGCCCCUCUCUCACCAAGAUGAGCUCUUCCUUGCUGCCAGGAGCCCUGAAAUCAGCAUUCCCAGAGGAAAGAAGAUGGCCAUCUGGGCUUGGCUUCCGGCUCCCCCCAUCUGGCUGGAACACACAUCAGUCACGUUUCCUGCCCAAGCCCUCCGAGCAUUUGAAUGUGCUGUGAGCAGCCUACCUCAGCCUCCUCUCUUUACACAUGAAGACAC